rnacentral:rRNA from 1 species
AUGGCGGCCAUCACGGCGCUGCUGCCGACGCACCCGGUGGUGACCAUCGACACGGAGUUCCCGGGCACGGUGUACGACUCGGCCACGCCGCGCAAACUGCGGAGCGCGAAGGAGGCCUACGCGCUCGUCAGGCGCAACGUGGACCGCCUGAAGCACCUGCUGCAGCUCGGCCUCACCCUCUCCGGGCCCGGGGGCAGCCACCCGGUGGUGUGGCAGUUCAACUUCCGGGGCUUCGACGAGAGGCGCGACCCGCACGCGCCGGAGUCCAUCGCCAUGCUCAAGGCCCACGGCAUGGACUUCGCCAGGCUCCGCGAGGACGGCAUCGACCCGGGCGACUUCACCGACGAGUUCAUGCGCUCCGGCCUCAACCACCGCCGCCCGCGCCGGGGCAGAAGCGCCCCCGAGCCCCUCACGUGGGUGGCCUUCUCGGGCUCCUACGACUUCGGCUACCUCGCCAGGAUGCUUUACCAACGAGGCAAGAAAGGCUUGCCGCAGAAGCUCGAGGACUUCGGAAGGCGCGUGGAGAACCUCUUCGGCCCGUGGGUGCUCGACGCCAAGUACAUUGCCAAGACCUGCCGCUUGGACGGUGGCCUGGAGACGGUGGCCAACGACCUCGGCGUCCAGCGCCGCGCCGGCGUCGCCCACAACGCCGGCUCCGACAGCCUUCUCACCGCCGACGUGAUGCUCUCCAUUGUGUUGCGCCUCGAGGCCCCCCCCAACCCCGACUACGAAGUGCGCGAGAAACACGCCGGAAAGAUCGACGGGCUCGUCUAA